rnacentral:rRNA from 1 species
CCUACGGGAGGCAGCAGUGAGGAAUAUUGGUCAAUGGACGCAAGUCUGAACCAGCCAUGCCGCGUGCAGGAAGACGGCUCUAUGAGUUGUAAACUGCUUUUGUACGAGGGUAAACGCAGAUACGCGUAUCUGUCUGAAAGUCUCGUUCGAAUAAGGAUCGGCUAACUCCGUGCCAGCAGCCGCGGUAAUACGGAGGAUUCAAGCGUUAUCCGGAUUUAUUGGGUUUAAGGGGUGCGUAGGCGGUCGGAUAAGUUAGAGGUGAAAUCCCGAGGCUCAACUUCGGAAUUGCCUCUGAUACUGUUCGGCUAGAGAGUAGUUGCGGUAGGCGGAAUGUAUGGUGUAGCGGGGAAAUGCUUAGAGAUCAUACAGAACACCGAUUGCGAAGGCAGCUUACCAAGCUACUUCUGACGUUGAGGCACGAAAGCGUGGGGAGCAAACAGGAUUAGAUACCCCUGUAGUC